UGUAAAAUAGGCUAAAAUUUAAGCUGUUGGGUUCAUACCCCAAAAAUGAAUAAGGGAUUCUUUUACAA
rnacentral:tRNA from 1 species